CCAAGGGCUUGGCUCUGUGGGACUGAGAGAGACAGAGAGACAGAGAGAGAGAGAGGCCCAGAAGAGGAGCCAGGGCAGAGGGCCGAGGGGAAGGAGUGGUGGCCCUGGAGGCCGUGACCUUCUCAGGCCCCGCUGGGUGGCCUGGCUUGCUGUUUGGGGCUGGCUAAUGAUUAGCAGGGAAAAUGUCACUCUGGGGCAUGCACACCUUCCGGGAGCGAGGGGCCAGUGGCAGGCAGGGGCCACCUCUGUGUUUACAGCCCGGCCUGUGACGUGACAGGGCCAUUUCAAGAGGAACUUCCUGCUAACCGGCAACCCGGGUGGAGAUUCUCGGCGGCCACACAGGUUUGUUCCUGCGUUUGCGUGGAGGGAGGACGGAGGCCCAGAUGCCUCUGGGAUCAGAGAAACUUCUGUGACACCGGAAGAGGAGAACUUCCUGCCUGAGGGUGAAGAAGACGCGUGGUGAUGGAGGGCAGGUGGAAAGGCAUCUCGACCGUGCUGGUCAUCCUGGCUGGGCUGGCAGCUUCUGGAUCCAGCUAUCAAAUCAUAGAAGGUCCCAAGAACGCAACGGUGCUGGAGGGCUCGGAGGCUCGCUUCAACUGCACGGUCUCACAGGGCUGGAGGCUCAUCAUGUGGGCUCUGAAUGGCACGGUGGUUCUGAGCAUCACGCCCUCAAAACCCAUCAUCACCAACGACCGCUUUACCUCUGUGAGCUACGAAGAGGGCGGCAACUCCAUCUCUGAGAUGAUAAUCCAUGAUGUGCAGCUCCGUGACGCGGGGCACAUCAAGUGCAGCCUCCAGAACAGUGACCGUGAUGCAUCCGCUUUCCUUUCAGUGCAAGUUAUGGGGGCAUUGCUCAUUCCCGGAGGCAACCUUGUAGUCGCGGAGGAUGAACCUUGUAAUGUGACUUGCCACGCAUGGGGCUGGAUCCCGCCCCCAGGUAUUUCCUGGGAUAUCGGCGUUCCCGUGAGCCACUCGAGCUAUCAUUCUGUUCCGGAGCCCAACAAUCCCCAAAGUGCAGUGAGCGUCCUGACUCUCACACCACAGGGCAAUGGGACUUUGACUUGUGUGGCUACCAUGAAAGGGCUGCAUGCCCACAAGUCUGUAACUGUGAAUCUUACUGUGGUUCAGCCUCCUUUGGGCAGUAAUGAUAAAGCAGGUACAUCAUUGCCUACCUGGGCCAUAAUUCUGCUUGCAGUAUCAUUUUCAUUGCUUUUGAUCCUGAUCAUUGUUCUGAUUAUAAUAAUCUGCUGCUGUUGUGUCUCCGGGAGAGAGAGAAAAGAAUCUAGUUAUCAAAGUGAAAUAAGGAAAUCUGCAAGUGUGAAGACAAACAAAGAAACUUUUGAGACAAACUUAGAAAGUGGCAGUGAAAACCUGGGCUACCAUUCAGAUGAGCCACGGACGGCAAAACUUGCUUCUUUUGCUCCAGUGUCCUCUGAAUCCAGUGUUCAGGAACAACACAGCAGUAGGCAACCUUAUCAGUGUGUUUCUGUUGUCCAUCAUCAUCCUUGAGUGGGUACAAGUCAAGGGGAAAGACAAGAGUUUCAGAAGACCUUUUGGACAGAGCUGUUCAAAUCUCUAGGCUGUCAAGGUCCGUGGACUCAUGCACCUUAGUGGCCAAUUUCCACUCAUUGGCUCACCUGGUGUCACAAAUCAAGGGGGCAUGGCACCCACCUGCUGCAGAAAGACCUACCAGUAAGGUACUGGGUUUUCCAUGAACGCAAUUGCCAUGGAAAUUGAGGGCAGACGGCAGUGGAUUCUAUGGGAAGCUUCAUGGAGGAUGAUUUGCCAUUUUGGAAAAUGGCGUCGGCAACAGCACCACCGUUUGGAGUAUCUGAGUUGCUGUCAUGAGACACAUGAGUUGCUGGAGAGUUACAGCUGCUGCAUUCCUGAGAGGCCUUCCUUGCCUGAUUGGGAAACUGAGGUCCAGAGAGGUCCAGUAACUUGCGUGAGGCUGCUGUGCUGAAUUUAUCCUUUCCUUUCCAACUCAGCGAUGUCUUGCCCCCGUGACUUCACCGCCCUGCAGGACAGGAAAAACCGAGGUGUUGGCCAUGAUGCAAACAUCCAGAUGUUGACGUUGUCGAGCCAACACUUUCGACUUCUUGGUGACACAGCCCACCUCCCUGCAAUCAAUCCUUCUCUUUGGCUGACACCAGUUGGAAGUGGCUGCUGGUUUUGAAACUAAGAUAAGCCUAAGCAAGAGAACUGUACCUGCUCUACCUUUGUGCACACAUGAUAGAAUGUGGAAGAUGAACCAUUCUUCAGACUCUCUCGUCAGAAAAUAAAGUUAUCUUUCAUGCAAAUGAGAAGACACUCAUCAAUUUGACUCCACGGGAGGUUAAUAUUUUUAGAGUAGAAAAACUUAGCUUCCAUUGUUCAAGGUGAAUUUUCCAUAAUGAAAAAGGCAAAUUACCUGUGAAACUGGCAGCUGUUAUUAACUAAACAAUUUCCAAAGGAAAAUUUCCUGGUUUCUGUACUUAAAAACAUUUUUACCCCUUUGAAAUCCUUCUUUGAAAUUGGUCUUGUUGUUCAUCUGGAAAUGUAGCCAAUAUUCACCUAUUUAUUGUGUAGCUAAUUUUCAUAAAAUGGAAAUACUUUAUUAUAAGCGGACUUCAUCUUGAAGUAAGAACAUGGGUGCUUUCUACAUCAAAUAACCAUUGCGUCCAAAUCCUUUUCAUCCCGUGGAUGUUUUGUGGGCAAUAAGAGUGGCUAUUUUCCUUGUGCUUGGAUCGGCACUGCUUGAGUAUUCCAGCUUAAUUAUCUUGAAGGCUUUAUCUUCAUCAAAGUCACCAAGCUACUUGGAAAUAAUAGCUCCAACAUUGAUUAACAGAAUUAUGUGUGAAUAAAUCCCAUCCUCAGAUGCUGAAAGGAGCCAUGACAACAGUAGACAUUUAUGCCACUCUUAUUUUUAUAAUUACAAGUAUUAGAUCCCAUCAUUGUGGAAAAAGAAUACACUUCAUUUUUUUUUUAAAUGAAAUGUGCCUAUUAUACAAUGGGAAUCAGAUUCUCAGCUCAUCAGGCACUUGGGGAAGUUCUUGGAGAUCUGAGAAUUUCUUGGAAUUUUUUUGCCAGCAUCAACUGUCCAGGUGACUUAUCAGCAUUCUAGGUAACUUCUGGUGUUUUGGACUGUAACCCAGCUCCUGCAGAGCCCGUGGCUGUACCCCAGGCCUCCAUCUGGAUGAUUCGUGUCUGAACCCCGUUCACUCAUUUAUCUUUGGUCACACCUCAGGGGGCGAGAGGAUGGCCUGUUGAAUAGAGUUGGGAUUUCCCAUGGUCCAGAGCUUCGGGGAUGGCAGAGAGUGUGUGUGUAAGAGAGACACAGAGAGGCAGACUGUGAGGGUGGAUCUGUCCAUCCAGAAGCCCUGACACACACACAUCUGUGCAGAUGCUCUCUCAGCUCUAGGCACUGUAGCUGCUGUUGUAGUAAUCCUCACACUUUCAUUUCUGAGUUGUGGGAUGUGGGCAGGGAGGCCAGCAGAAUAAUGACUUCCACAAAUAUGUCUGCAUCUUAAUUCAUGGGACAUGUGAAUAUAUUACCUUGCAGGGCAAAAGGGACUUUGCAGGUGUGAUUAAGUUAAUGGUUUUGAGGUGGGAAGAUUCUCCUGGAUUAUCCACAUGGGUCCAUUGUGGUCAUAAGCGUCCUCCAGGAUCUCACUAAGACAAUUCAGGGAGAAGAUGGUGAGGUUCUGGAGAUGAUGGUGAAGUUCAUGGAGAAGACAGUGUGACUCAUGGAGAAGACAAUGUGGCUUCAUGGAGAGUAUGGUGAGGCUCAAAGAGAUAAUGAUGCAGCUUGACAAAGAUGCUCUCUUGACCAAACUCUAGUCAGGCCCUCUGAGCCCUCUUUAUGACUAGGCUUCAACCUUGGUUUAUAAAAUCUGCAGACUCUCAGCACAGAUGAUUUCACCUCCCACCCCACACUAAGAGACUUAAGCAAACACUAGCAUAGUUUCUAACAGCUCAAGGCUGUGUCUCUAGGAUGAUGACUGCCCUCCCUUAAGUCCUGUCUGGGGGAGCUCAAUGCUUCCAAAACCUGGGGGUAGGGAGAUAGCCCUCUGAAUCUCCUCACAGAGCUGCUACUUUAGAAAGCUUGCCAUUAUAAAUUCUUUCUCUGCCCCUUGGAAUAUAAAUCUACCACAUAGAGCUAUAUUCUCAAGGGCCCCAAAGCUGUCCUGGAGCAACAUUCAAGGACAUAACUCAUUGCUUGCUCCUUGCUCUCAGUCCCUGCGGGAGGGUGAGGGCCUAACGUCAGUGGAUGCCAUGCUCUAACCUGUACCACUGCCCUCUCUCCUAAAGAUGUGAAGUUUGUUUCUCUGUGAAUAAGCACCAAUGAACAAAUCCAAGUGGCCUAAUCACAUGGACCAACGCCACUUAAUACCCCUUAGUGUCUUUCUAUUAGCACAUCCAGGCCUUUACAAAGUCCCUUGAUUUUUGUCCAGGAAGUUGAGUUCAGUUCAUGCUGGACCCUCUUCUCUAUUGGAAUAAUUAUGACUGAAUGAAAUUUGUCUUUACCACUUCUGGUGUCAAGCUUGUUGAUCUUUGACAAGCACACAGGAGACAGUGGAGUUUCAUCUGUUUAUAGCCCUCAGGCCUUUACUCCAGAGAGGGACAGACUUAUACCACAUUUGAUCCAGCAACUUUCUUCAGUCCCUCAUCACUGCAAAAAGUCUCACUUCUUCUGAAGCCUCAAGCCAAAGCCCCUUCACAGAUGGAUAAGGUGAACAAAAUUUAGGCACUGUUGAAGGGAGGCAGGGACUAAUGCAAUCAGGUAAAACCUCCUUGUUGCUCAUGCCUCUGGGUCCAGACUGAGAGAAGUACUUCCUUUUUUUUUCUGCUCUGGGAACUGUACUCUGCACUUCCUGAGGUGAGUGAGCCCAGUGAUAUCCUGGUCUGGUAGACUAACCACACCAUGCAUUCAACUGGAAAAGUACAAUGGCCAGUAACAGAAGAUGCAUUCCUGGCAGAUGUAUGUUGAGUUGGUGCUCGGUCAACUGAUACUAGUACCCAUGGAUUCCCUCUUUGUUAACCUGUUAAUUCAGUCCAGUUUUCACCUAUAAGAAUUCUUCAUGCCCAUAAUUACCUCCCUUCUGUACCUUGAGAUGCAGUCUGGCCUCCUGACUCCAGGAUACUGACCUAGCCGGCCCUGCCUAACUCUUCUCAUUUGGAACAUGAUUCACUUACUCAUAAUCUCAGGCCCUUUCUAUCCCUUGGCUCUGGGCUUCUCUGUCUCCUGCACUCAGCAAUUCUUUGGGUGACCUCUAGGGGAACUUCCACUGGCUCCUCCCUUCCUAUGUCUUGGCUCCACCCUCUCCUAUCUUCUCCAGUCCUUGGUCCUCCCAUGCCAAACUACAUACGGUGAGUGCCACUGGCCUGCCACGGAGACAUUGGUGGGCCCCCUCCCUUCUCCCAGGGGCGAAACCCCUUCCUGUAGCUAUUCACCUAAUUCCCUAUAUCUCUACCCCCUAGGCUGGUAUUUUCACAAGUUUCUGGCUGCUCUUUCAAUAGUUGAAAUACCUCACGUAGUUCUAGGUAUUUUUCCGUGGCACUAGAGAUCAAAGGGCUCAUAGGACCCUAAAGAAUUACUUCUGUCCAUGGAUCUUAUUAAAGGCAUUGCUAUUACAAUUAAGGGGUAUGUGUUUACGUGGGAGUGGGCAGUGAGCUUGUCUACACUGUAAUGUUCCGGGUAAGGAUGUUGCUGUAGAUGGCAUUCUGGCCCUUGGACUGUUCAGGCCAAAAUUGGGCCACUGAAUGGAAUGUUAUUACCCAAAAUGUUUUUGACUUGCAGGUAUGUGGUUGCAGAAACUAUUUUUUUUCAGAAGAGGAAACCAUUUUUCGGAAGCCUUUUCAGAAGGCUUUUUCUGGUCAGUUUCUCUAUAUGAUGAAAAUGGCCUUGCCUUUUGGGAUGCAAGUGUCUGAUGGCGUUUAUGCAUUCUUAAGCUUCGGUCACCACAAUGAUGCUUUCGUCAAACUAUCUCAUUUAUGAGGCCAGUAACUCUGAGGCUGCUCUGGUGGAACAUUCUACUUGCUGCUCCCACCCCUCAGCUGUUUAAUUAGGGAAUUAAAUUUUUCUAAAGACUUUUAGUUUCCUGUGUUUCAUUGACUGAGAUUUUUCCUAAUUUUACAAUGUUGGUAAUAAGUUCUUCAGCAUGAUUUAGUAUUUGGAAUUAUUUAAAGCAAGUAUUCAUAUUAAAUGGAAUGAACUUACCACUUUUUAUGCUAAUAUUUUAUAGUCUGGAAAGAACCAAAAUGACAUGAAGGUUUUGCAGGUUAAUUUUGGACCUCAUUUUUGCUUUCAUUUUGAAAGAUAUUAGCACAAUUUCCCAGCAUUCUAUUGACACAUGCAUUAGGUCCAGAUAGUGAUGACCAUAUGUAAUUCUUCUUUCAUGACCCACUUAAAUGCUGUACAAGUUGGUGUAGGAGAAGAUGCCACUGGGAAUAUAUUAUGGUUGUUUACUUACUGUCUCCCCUUUCCCCAGCUUCCACAUCUCACACACACACACACACACACACACACACACACACACACACACCCCAUGUCUUUGUCUUGCUUUUGUAUGCAGUAUAACUCCUAGUACAAGAAAGAUUCUAUUAAGGGGCAGGAGAGAACAAUAUUAGUGGUAUCCACUGUGUUAAUACAUCCAAGAAGAAAAACCAUGAUCAAAUUUUAAAUUUUGAUUACCAUACAAAUUUUUCUUGAGGGAAAAUAGUUGGAUUGUCUGAAUUCAGGGAUUGGAAGUUAAUAUUGUGGGUAACAACAGCUAAAUUACCCAUGUUCCUGGCAUUUUUAUUUCCAAGAUCACUUGGAGAUUCUCACAUAGACACUGAGAUAUGAGACUCAUUGCCUCCAAUAUGACCCACAUUGCCUUCUCUGGGAUGCUCUUGUAAUCAUAAACUGCCACUGUGAUAUUUAUGAAUUCUACCAAUCCCUCAAUAGCCCUUGAAUGGACAUUUCCUCUGAUAUCAAUGAGUCCAAGCAUAUUAUCAUAUGUGCUCCUAUGCAGGAAUUUUUCCAUGGUAUUUUCAAGCACACAAAUUUUGGAGUCAGACUGCUUAUUUCUAAAGAUUGAAAGCACCAGUGGAGGAGAUGAGACACUGAAGAAUGGUGAGGCUUUGCCAAGGUCGCGUGGAAAACCGUAGCUCAAGUCAAGGACUCAAGUUCUAAGCUUCUGGUUCAUGACUCCAUCUACCAUGUAAUACAGUGUUUGACUAACAUGAGUCAUGUGAGAAGGCCACAUGGAUUCUAAAAGGAGGUAGAGGGAGGAGGAUGGGCAGGAGGCAGGAGGGAGUGAAAGUUUGGAAGGAGUGCGUGAGGUGUGUGUGUGUGUGUGUGUGUGUGUGUUGUGUGAUCACUGUUCUAAACAAUGAUCCUCAAACAUGACUGCUUAUUGGAACCACCUGGAAAACUUUAAAGACCAUCUACUUACUGUCCUUAUCCCUUGGGAUUCCAAGAUGAGGUCCAGGGACCCUUUGCAAUCCUUGGUCUGAUGGCUGGUCUGUGGGGACACCACUGCCCCAAGACAAGGGAUGGGGCUGGGAGCUGUGGUCCCAGGGCCUACCUGCUGGGGAAUGAUAGAAGGAACAUUCAGUGCCCGAGUGCCUGGGCAGCUGUCCCCUGAGCAAAUGUGGAACCAGAACUGUGUGGGGUGCACCCUGGGAUGCAUUAUGUGUAACCCCCAGGUCCUGGUUUCCCAUGGCUGCUCUAUGGCCACACUCAAUUUCACUUUGUGUUUAAAACAGACAGCUCCAUGACCCAUUGAUUGGAGAUAACUGUGUUAUGAAAGGUGCCCUGGGGAAAUCCACAGGGUUAAAUUGCAUGCUACAUGGCAAAUACUGGUCUAACUCUCCUUGAGAUCCUUCUAUUCUUUCCCUAAAAGUCUUCUCCAGCACUUGCUAUGACAUCUGUAUUAGUUUUCUAGGGCUGCCACAAAGUACCACAGGCUGGGUGGUUUCGACGACAGAAACGUAUUCUCUCACGAUUCUGGAGGCUGGAAGCUGGAAGGCCAAGACCAAGGGUCCUUUGAAGAGUCAUCAUUUGGCGUAUCUGCCAUGACAGGGCGUCACUGUCGGAGAAUCCCACUUGAACCCAGGGCCAACCUGGAGCUGGCAAGUUGCCAGAGGGUGUCCUGAUCAGCCCUGGGCCAACGAGACAGGCCACGGCACCCACCUCAUUCCCUGCACUGGCCAUGAUCCCGGUUGUGAAAGUCAAGGCUUCACUUGGGUGCCGUGAAGGCUCUUCGGGGUCUCACAAGUCCAGGCAAAAGGACUGAACCUCUUUACAGAGAGGCUGGACAGGCUGCAGCAAUGAAAUCUUUAACAGAUUCCACGGUCCAGCCCGCAUCUCCCUCCGGAUGCUGGUGAAGUUUUUGACAACACAGAUAAGGCCGGAGACUUCCUCUCUUGUCACAGCAUGACUCUCCCAAGUCGAUGUCCCAGCGCUGCUAUGACCUCUUGCCAAGGGAGGAGGUACCCGGGAUACGAACAGCCUGGCAGAUUUGGGGUUGGGGC